rnacentral:lncRNA from 1 species
CUAGUUGCAGGAUGAUGCUUCAUAGGUGAAGAGGUGGUGAUCUCCGGCAGCUUCUACUCCUCUCUUUCUUAUGGUGGGAGUUGUGUCUAUUUUCAUAUUGUUUUCUUUCUUUAAACUCUUGUACCUAUUUAGACUAGCUCCUAGGGAGGUUUUCGGUCAGUUUUUAAAACUUUUAUAUUGAAACAGAUUUUGGGAUUAAUUCUGGUUAUAUUAAGGC